UACGGAGGGUGCAAGCGUUGUCCGGAAUUAUUGGGCGUAAAGAGCUCGUAGGCGGUUCGUCGCGUCGGCUGUGAAAUCCCGAGGCUCAACCUCGGGUCUGCAGUCGAUACGGGCGGACUGGAGUUCGGCAGGGGAGACUGGAAUUCCUGGUGUAGCGGUGAAAUGCGCAGAUAUCAGGAGGAACACCGGUGGCGAAGGCGGGUCUCUGGGCCGAUACUGACGCUGAGGAGCGAAAGCGUGGGGAGCGAACAGG
rnacentral:rRNA from 1 species